AAUUUGGCUAAAAAUAUAAUUAAAUGUACUGUUUAUCUUUAUAGAUUUAAUUAAUAUAUGUUAUAUAACUAUAGAUUUAUUAGAAUAUAUAAUUAGUUUAAAGUUUUUAAAUUAAAUUAUUGAUAAACUCAAAUUAAAUAAAUUAAAAAUUAUGAAGUAAAAUAAAAAUUUUAAAAGAUUAAAUAAUUGAUUCAAAAGUUUUAUAUAAUUCUAAUAAUUAGUUCCAUAUUUCUUUUUUAAAAAUAUGGAUUAUACUGCGACCGUCUCUUAAGCGAGUGGCAAAGGGCUUGGUGGUUGGUAGCCGAGACCCAAAUUCGAAUCCUAAUUGAUUCACAUUUUCAGCUAAAUUUAUUUAUAAAUGAAAUAAACGAAGUGGGUAACUUGCUAUCCAUCUCUUAAAAGAAUAUAUAUAUAUAUAGAUUAUUAUUUGU
rnacentral:lncRNA from 1 species